AACGAACGCUGGCGGCAUGCCUAACACAUGCAAGUCGAACGAGACCUUCGGGUCUAGUGGCGAACGGGUGCGUAACGCGUGGGAACCUGCCCUUAGGUUCGGAAUAACUCCCCGAAAGGGGUGCUAAUACCGGAUAAUGUCUUCGGACCAAAGAUUUAUCGCCUUUGGAUGGGCCCGCGUUGGAUUAGCUAGUUGGUAGGGUAAAAGCCUACCAAGGCGACGAUCCAUAGCUGGUCUGAGAGGAUGAUCAGCCACACUGGGACUGGGACACGGCCCAGACUCCUACGGGAGGCAGCAGAGGGGAAUAUUGGACAAUGGGCGAAAGCCUGAGCCAGCAAGGCCGCGUGAGUGAUGAAGGCCUUAGGGUUGUAAAGCUCUUUUACCCGGGAUGAUAAUGACAGUACCGGGAGAAUAAGCUCCGGCUAACUCCGUG
rnacentral:rRNA from 1 species